rfam:Triticum aestivum genome assembly, contig: Triticum_aestivum_CS42_TGACv1_scaffold_221867_3B
AUAUUACUCCUUCCGUCAGGAAAUACUUGUCAUAAAAAUGGAUGUAUCUAGAACUAAAAUACAUCUAGAUACAUCUAUUUCAAUGACAAGUAUUUCCGGACGGAGGAAGUACAUA